rnacentral:lncRNA from 1 species
AGCUAAAAUCUGUUACACUAGUAGAGAAAUUGCAAUACUUAUGUAAAUCAAUAAUUGCAACGUAUAUAACACCAUAAAUUCAUAGCAUGCCUAGAGAGUUACUAGCUGCAACAUACGUGUUUGGCAUGUUUAGCCUGUCAAGCAACCUAUACAAUGUAACUCAUUUGCAUACAUACCUAGGUAUAGCUUCAAUUUUGACUCAUUUUUAAUAAAGAUAUAACAAUUCUGGAUUAAAAAAAUUUAAAAAUUAUUAAGAAAACUCUGUUCAAAUAAUCUAAAUUAUGUUGUAAAUAUUUUAGGAAGUUCUUUAGGUCUUCAACAUGGUAACAUUUCUGAGUAAGACUGCAAGCCUCUUAACAGAGCUUUUGCUCCCCCUCUCUGACUCAGAUCUAAAUAUAAAAGGUGCUACUAGAAACUGGAAGUGGGCUCAGUGGUGAUGGUUCUAGGUGACCCUAAGCUCUAGAGUUAGAAAUUGUAUUUUCUCUGUUAAUUUUAGCUCCUGUUUCUGUGUUAGUGUUUAAAGUUAAUCAUACCUUUGUUUCCUGUCUACAUCAUCUAGGGCUUGCAUGGCAAUAGUCAUUAUUGAUUUGUCAAGUAAGUUUUGAGCACCUAUCUUGUUGGGUCAGUGUGAAAAACUGAAAAUACAAUGAUGAACAAGCCAGGAUAUGAUGUCUACUUCAUUAAAACCUAGUCUACUGGGGCCAGAGGAGGAAGGAUGGUCUUGACAAUGGUACCAAUAACACGUCAAUAUAAAUACAGUUGUGAUAAGUGUAGCUGAGAGAAAGUACAGAUGAGCAUAGAUAGCAAUAGAUUUAAUCCAGUUGGAGGAUGAGAGAAGAUUGCCACAAGAAAGUACUUUUUGGCUGAGGUGGGACAAACAAACUCUAUUUGAGGAUAUUUUUUUCAACUAGUCAUUUUCUCUUCUAGUACAUCUAUAUGAUGAAACUUGACUUAACAGAAAUAUAUACAGAAAAUCCUCAUAUCUUUAGAUAUUACAUAACCUACUUCUAAAUAACUGAGUCAAAGAAACAUUACUAGAGAAAUUAGAAUAUAUUUUGAACUUAGUAAAAAAUUAUAGCAUAUCAAAAUUUGUGGGGUGUAGCUAAUUAGGUAUUUACAGGAAAAUUUAAUACAUUAAAUGCUCACAUUGAGAAAGAAGAAAAGAAAAUUGAAAAUAAAGGAAUGAUAUAAUUUAGAAUAGCAAACAAAAACAUGAAAUACCUGAGGAUACAUUUGACAAAAUAUUUGCAAGGCAUGUACACUGAAAACUACAAAAUAUUUCUGAGAGAAAUUAAAAAAACUCAAACUGGGCUUCAUCCUGAUGCCGUCACAAGUUUUGUUAAAUGUCCAAUCUUAUCAGGCUUUCUCAAAGCCAUAAACUUAAGCAUAGCUGACUCUAUUGCUUUUGACAGCAUAAAAUACAUAAAUUGAAAGUUCAUGAAGAAAUAUGAACUCUGAGACCUGUUUUAUUAUUGGGUAUUUUUUAUUACUAUUAACUUUUUGGUAAAUAUAUCUCUCUUUUUCUUAUGUGGUACAAAUCAAGAGAAGUAUCAAAAAU